CCUAUAAGCAACAACACAGAGGUUUAAGCUCCUGCGAGGACUGCAAAGGACUGGGAGUUUGAGAGAAAUGUAGGCUGAGAGAGCUGAGGCAGGCAAGAAACAGAACGGAAAUGGAGAGGAGAGCCCAGCAUGACUUGCGCCGUGCCAAAGGAAUACGUGUGAGUUGGCUUCGUGUCAUCGUAACAAAACCCUGAGGCAGAAACGUCUACUCUUGAGCCUUCCAGUGGCCACUGGUACCUUUGGACCUUGAGCUGGAGCUGCAGCCUAGAGUUAUUAUUUAGCUUUGCCCUUUGUCUUUGAGAAAUAUCUUGAAAGAGCCAGGUUGGUCCAGACCUGCUGGCAAGCCUGCAGCCCCAUCCACCGAUUACCUAAUACACUUGUGACAUCUGCUUUCCUUGUUGUGAGAAAACACAGGGAGGAAGUGUGUGCAGAAGGGGUGAUGCCUGACCUACACACCCGGCAAUACCAGAAGUUUCACUACCUUCCGUUGGUAAACGCUUCAGGGAAGGCUCUGCAACCCUGAACGUGUUUUAUUGUAGAACCUCACUAGGAAACUCAUCAGUAUUUAUUAAAGAUGAAUUAAAAGAAGGAGGAAAAGGAAAAACGGGAUAGUGAAGAGAAUAGAUGAAUGAAAAAGAAGCAAAGGGAAGAGAGGAGGAAGGGACAAAGAGGGCAAGAAAAGAGAAAAGAGAGAUGAGAGACCAGGACUUCCCACCUAACCUUACCAAACUUUUUCAGUUGAGCUUUUAAUGGGAUACUAUUCCCAAGAGGAAAUUCAAAAAGAAAACCACCUUGAAACAUCCUUGCUUUUAAUUGUACUCUUUCAACUGCCAGGAAAUUAAUUAGGUAAGACAAAAAGAAAA
rnacentral:lncRNA from 1 species